rnacentral:rRNA from 1 species
GCGCACGUGGUAGGGGAGCGUUCUGUAGGCUGAUGAAGGUGCAUUGAGAAGUGUGCUGGAGGUAUCAGAAGUGCGAAUGCUGACAUGAGUAACGAUAAUGUGGGUGAAAAGCCCACACGCCGGAAGUCCCAGGUUUCCUGCACGACGUUAAUCGGAGCAGGGUGAGUCGGCCCCUAAGGCGAGGCUGAAGAGCGUAGUCGAUGGGAACCAGGUUAAUAUUCCUGGACUUUUUAUAAGUGGUGAAGUGGGGACGAAGAAGGCUAGGUGAGCCAGGCGUUGGUUGUCCUGGUACUUGCAUGUAGGGGGGAAGACUUGGCAAAUCCGGUUUUCCAUAACUCUGAGGUGCGAAGUGGUUCUGACCUUUUGGUACAGAGAAGUCAUUGAUGCCCGGCUUCCAGGAAAAGCUGCUAGCCAUAACUUAUAGAGAACCGUACCGCAAACCGACACAGGUGGACAGGUAGAGAAUACUAAGGCGCUUGAGAGAACUCGGGUGAAGGAACUAGGCAAAAUGGUACCGUAACUUCGGGAGAAGGUACGCCCUUUUGGGUGAGGGCAUUUACUGUCUGAGCUUAAGAGGGCCGCAGAGACCAGGUGGCUGCGACUGUUUAUUAAAAACACAGCACUCUGCAAAUUCGUAAGAAGACGUAUAGGGUGUGACGCCUGCCCGGUGCCGGAAGGUUAAUUGAUGGGGUUAUCUUCGGAGAAGCUCUUGAUCGAAGCCCCGGUAAACGGCGGCCGUAACUAUAACGGUCCUAAGGUAGCGAAAUUCCUUGUCGGGUAAGUUCCGACCUGCACGAAUGGCGUAACGAUGGCCACACUGUCUCCACCCGAGACUCAGUGAAAUUGAAAUCGCUGUGAAGAUGCAGUGUACCCGCGGCUAGACGGAAAGACCCCGUGAACCUUUACUAUAGUUUUGCACUGGACUUUGAUGAUGACUGUGUAGGAUAGGUGGGAGGCUGUGAAGUGAGGACGCUAGUUCUCAUGGAGCCGCCCUUGAAAUACCACCCUGUUGUUAUUGAGGUUCUAACUUGGUCCAGUAAUCCUGGAUGAGGACAGUGUAUGAUGGGUAGUUUGACUGGGGCGGUCUCCUCCCAAAGAGUAACGGAGGAGCACAAAGGUACCCUCGGUACGGUCGGACAUCGUACCAAGAGUGUAAAGGCAAAAGGGUGCUUGACUGCGAGAGUGACGGCUCGAGCAGGAACGAAAGUUGGUCUUAGUGAUCCGGUGGUUCUGAAUGGAAGGGCCAUCGCUCAACGGAUAAAAGGUACUCCGGGGAUAACAGGCUGAUACCGCCCAAGAGUUCAUAUCGACGGCGGUGUUUGGCACCUCGAUGUCGGCUCAUCACAUCCUGGGGCUGAAGCAGGUCCCAAGGGUAUGGCUGUUCGCCAUUUAAAGUGGUACGCGAGCUGGGUUUAGAACGUCGUGAGACAGUUCGGUCCCUAUCUGCCGUGGGCGUAGGAAAAUUGAGAGGAGCUGCUCCUAGUACGAGAGGACCGGAGUGGACGAACCUCUGGUGCACCGGUUGUCACGCCAGUGGCAUGGCCGGGUAGCUAAGUUCGGACGGGAUAACCGCUGAAAGCAUCUAAGCGGGAAGCCUCCCUCAAGAUGAGUUUUCCCAUGAAGCCCGUUGAAGACUACGACGUUGAUAGGCAAGGUGUGGAAGCGCAGUAAUGCGUGAAGCUAACUUGUACUAAUUGGCUGAUUGUCUUGACCAU